rnacentral:rRNA from 1 species
CACGUAGGGCGCAAGCGUUGUCCGGAAUUAUUGGGCGUAAAGAGCUCGUAGGCGGUCUGUUGCGUCCGCUGUGAAAACUCGGGGCUUAACCCCGAGCCUGCAGUGGAUACGGGCAGACUAGAGGUAGGUAGGGGAGAAUGGAAUUCCCGGUGUAGCGGUGAAAUGCGCAGAUAUCAGGAGGAACACCAGCGGCGAAGGCGCUGCUCUGGGCCGGUACUGACGCUGAGGAGCGAAAGCGUGGGGAGCGAACAGG